AAAUACUCUGCCGUCCAUGCGAGAGGGCGGAUGGGGAGGCUGGCCCAGGCGGUGGGAGGCCUGCCCUCUGCGCUGCCGGGCUCAUCUGUUCGGUAAUCGCAUAUUUGGCUGCCUCCAGCGAGGCCAUUGCACUCUUUCCCACCUCCUCUCUCCAAGUGACAUUCUCCCUUUGGCUUUUGUUCAGAAGUUUAUGUUACCGACUCAGCACGUUGUCAUCCUGAGUGAGCUACAGCAGAUGUAAAUGCUAGUCACUACCCACGGGAUAACCAGCCGUCUCAAAGCAAGCUAAGUCCCAUUUCAAGACAAAACCAGUGAAUACCACCCUUCCUGCACUGGGAACCUCCUGUGUUUUUGUAGCCCACAAUGUUCUCCCUGCAAAGCUUGGGAGGGGGAGAAGGAGACUGUAAGUAAAGGGGCUGGUUCCUUGCUUAGAGUCGUUGCAAAAGAUUCCUACAAAAGAAAAUUACUUGCAUUGAUGACUUGCCAAAAAAUCUUCUGACUGUAGCUGUUGUGAGAAGCAGGGCUCUGGAAACCAGGGAGUAAAAAGAAGACUCAUUAUGGCUUUCUGGGAAGAGCAAAGGAUCAGCAAAUGUUCCAGCAAGGGAUGUCAUGUUUUGGGGCUUUGUCUGUCUUGCUGGGGCCCUUCCUUCUGCUCCAGGGCAGAGGUGGCCCAAAAGACUGUUCCAGUAUCCGUCCCAGGCUGUGGCAAGGGGUCGCUUUCACAGCAGCUAAGCAAUUUGGCUCUGCACCCUUUGCUAAUAUUUCAUGACCCAGGACAGCGUUAACCAAAGUCACCCGUGCUGGUGUUUUAGCACCGUUCCAACGGCCGCGGCACGAUCCCGGGGGUGAAGCCACGACGACACAGUGCAAACUCUGUUUGAGCGAAGGUGGAGUUACGUCCCCGCGGCCCACUGGAACUGGGUCCUCUUGUGUCCCUUCUCCACAUUAUUUCAUCUGCAAAUCAAUCUCUGGCACAAAGCACCUGUUAAAUAGGCAGAACCGACGGUCGGGCUGGACUUUGCCCCCUGAGACGUGCACUAAUUUCAGACGGGCAGAAGUAACGCAGAUAAGGCAGGACGGAGGAGAAGGCACCAAACAGGCCACGCGUGCACCCAACUCAAUGAUGCCGAGAGGUCUGCAGCUGGAGAAAACAAACCCCUCGAGUGUCUGUGGGCAUCAGGCUCGGGUGACUCUUGCACGGUCUUGGAAUGGAAGUGGGGCAGGUCUAUUGGGUUUUUGCAUCCGAGCCCCAAUCCUGGGGUUUACUGUACAAAGGGAAAGCAGUGGAUACGGCCCAGGGGCCGUGCUGCCCUGUGUAAGUGGUGCUCCCUAUCCAGCAGACCUCUAGCGUUCAAGCAGGCUUCUAUCGCCCAUUGACUGUCCCUGGGAUUUGUGCCCCCCUAACUCACUGGGAAGCUUUUUUAAAGCCCUGCCUUGAAACGUGACUCCAUCCCAUUUCCCCCCUUCCUGCCUUUUCCGAGCAGCUCAGAGCAGGGGCUCACACCUGGCCCCGCUCCGCCGAGGGGACCCCGCGUGGGCCUGCUGAGUCCGGAGGCUGGACCGGCGCGAGGAAUUUUAAUUCCUGCAUUAAGUGAAGACCCCAGCAGAUAAGGUAUGGAGUGAAAUGGCUAUUUUGUCUCUGUCAGACAGUUUGAUUUUCUGUAGGCGGGAAGGCUGGCCUUUUUAAUGCUUUUGAUCAAUUCUUUUUUCAACCGUUAUUUGCUGAAAUUAAGUGAGUUUUGAUUGGAAAAUAAGCUUAACCAACUGCUUUAUUAGUCAGCGGAAAUUGCUUUGGUUAAUUGACAGAGGAAAUAUUGGAAGAGAAAUCAAGACCUGGAAAAUGUUACUUAACAGGAAUAGUUCAGCUCCCCUUAAUCGUGUUAGAAUACAAUUUUGUGGCAAUAUUGAAUGCAGGGAUGUUACGGGUUCUUUUUCAAGGCAAAAUAGUAGAAU
ensembl:lncRNA